CAGAGAACUUCCUUGAACUGAAACAAGCUGCAAGAUGAGCUCAUUUCUUAAAAUAUUAAUAGUAAACUUGGGUGAGACAUUCUUAUUACGCUUCCACUGCUGCAAAUUCAUUAAAUUGCAAUGAUAAUAAAUCUUGAGAGAAUAAGUUUAUAGCAGAAUAUCAGAUGGUUGUUUCUGGGUUUUCUAAGACCCCGAGAUUGGUUUGGCACGCAGCUGAACCAUCAUUUAUCUCUGCUGACAGCCCGGUUUUCAUUCCCAGCCUUUGUGCUGCUGUGCACCAAAUGACAGUGUCCAGUUGGGGGUAUUUUUAGUCUGCUCUGUAGCAGAUGCAGGCUGGCACAUCCCUGCCUCUCCAGUGAUGUGGGUCACAUUCCCAGCAGGAGCCACACCAAGAGAGGAGGAAGGAAACCAUUGCAGAAAUGGGAGUGGUGCAAAGCCCAAGCCUCAGAGCUCUGCUUUAGUGGGUCAGCUGCCAAGAGCUGCGUGACUCCACUUCCCUGGCUGAUGGAGUCGCCUUAUGAGAAUGAGACCAGGACAGCUGGAUCACAGACCUGCAAACCAGGCUUGGGCAAGGGGUUUCACAGCACUGCGCUCUGCCUGCAGAGCUCCCAGGCAGGGGCGGGCACGGCCCCGGAGUGCUCGGAG
rnacentral:lncRNA from 1 species